rnacentral:rRNA from 1 species
AGUAUAAGCAAUUAUACCGUGAAACUGCGAAUGGCUCAUUAAAUCAGUUAUCGUUUAUUUGAUAGUACCUUACUACUUGGAUAACCGUGGUAAUUCUAGAGCUAAUACAUGCUGAAAACCCCAACUUCGGGAGGGGUGUAUUUAUUAGAUAAAAAACCAACGCCCUUCGGGGCUUCUUGGUGAUUCAUGAUAACUUCACGGAUCGCAUGGCCUUGCGCCGGCGACGGUUCAUUCAAAUUUCUGCCCUAUCAACUUUCGAUGGUAAGGUAUUGGCUUACCAUGGUUUCAACGGGUAACGGGGAAUUAGGGUUCGAUUCCGGAGAGGGAGCCUGAGAAACGGCUACCACAUCCAAGGAAGGCAGCAGGCGCGCAAAUUACCCAAUCCCGACACGGGGAGGUAGUGACAAUAAAUACUGAUACAGGGCUCUUUUGGGUCUUGUAAUUGGAAUGAGUACAAUUUAAACCUCUUAACGAGGAACAAUUGGAGGGCAAGUCUGGUGCCAGCAGCCGCGGUAAUUCCAGCUCCAAUAGCGUAUAUUAAAGUUGUUGCAGUUAAAAAGCUCGUAGUUGAAACUUGGGCCUGGCUGGCAGGUCCGCCUCACCGCGUGUACUUGUCCGGCCGGGCCUUUCCUUCUGGAGAACCUCAUGCCCUUCACUGGGUGUGUUGGGGAACCAGGACUUUUACUUUGAAAAAAUUAGAGUGUUCAAAGCAGGCCUUUGCUCGAAUACGUUAGCAUGGAAUAAUAGAAUAGGACGUGCGGUCCUAUUUUGUUGGUUUCUAGGACCGCCGUAAUGAUUAAUAGGGACAGUCGGGGGCAUCAGUAUUCAAUUGUCAGAGGUGAAAUUCUUGGAUUUAUUGAAGACUAACUACUGCGAAAGCAUUUGCCAANGGAUGUUUUCAUUAAUCAGUGAACGAAAGUUAGGGGAUCGAAGACGAUCAGAUACCGUCGUAGUCUUAACCGUAAACUAUGCCGACUAGGGAUCGGGCGAUGUUCUUUUUCUGACUCGCUCGGCACCUUACGAGAAAUCAAAGUUUUUGGGUUCU